rnacentral:lncRNA from 1 species
CGCGUGCUGCGCACCGCAAUGCACGGCGUCGAUUGUUUCGUCGAAUCUUGAUAAGACAGCUUUUAUCAUCCACGUUUUAUCCUAGAUUACACGAUUGUAUUGUAUUCCUCAAAGUAAACGUAAUGGUAUCUGCGAUUACUACAUAUCGAGGAACGGAAAAUACCUAUUCUUAGUGUACAGUAAACAGGAAUGUUCCUGCGGAACUCCUGCUAUUCAUAGGCUUACGGUUUACAGUUGUGCACUCUUUCCUCGAUUCUUGCAUUUUGUCAAACGCGUCGUCAGACCGGCAGGUGUACCGCGAAGAAGAUGGAAAACGCAAUUGUGCAACGCCGCUUUCUGCAUGAGCAGACGGCAAGAGCCACCGGGUGUGUUUUCGGUUUCCCACUGUUUAAACAGAUUACAUCGCAAUGCUCGAGCGAUUCUCAAGUGCGUUUAUGUACGAGCAUAAUACGCUAUACCAAAGUCCGUGAACAAAGAAGAACGAGGCGAUGUCGACGACCUACCCGAAGGAACUUUUCGUACGUGGGUGGCUGAAUAAUGUGCAAUGAUUCAGUUACUAAUAAUAUUAUAAUAUAAUACUGUAAGCAUGAAUUUUAUACUUCAGUUUUCAGUAUUACUUUAACCUUAGCCAGUAAAGCAAGGUACGUAGCGACAGCAGUCUUUUUAUUUCACCAGAAAAAUCAUUCGAUACUCAAUAUUAAUAAGAUAAAUAUUCGCUAAAAAAUACAAAAAAUAAGCAGUAUAAAUCGUACUCAAGUCGUGCGAUAUCAAUAUUAUAUGAUUUUAAAUCAUUCAACUGCACGAUAUUCUGCAAAAAAAAAUUCGCUUAAUCAGAGGAGAGAAAAAGCAUUCGGGAGCUUUUUAUUAAUUCAUGAUUGCAGUUACGACGACGCGGCAGAUGUACAUACGGCGAGAAAGAGAGAAAUGAGCGAGACAGAGAGAGAAAGAGAGAGAGAGAGAGAGAGAGGAGGGCAGAAAGCCUGUCAUAUAGAGCAGAGCAUAGGGCGAGCUUAAGUUUACCUAAGGGAGGAUAGCGGUGGCUCGCUUCGCAGUCUCGCGUGCCGGCGAGACAUACGUAAAGCGUUGUUGUUGCGACGCGCUUUCGCGCAGGUUAAUUAAAUGAAACUGUGAACCGCCUCGCCGCGACUCCCGCCGCGGGACGCCUCCUCGUCGCGACGGGACCAAGGAUUGAUUUUUGAAUUCUCAGCGCGACGGAUGAUGCCUGAUAGUCGGUAAUGCGCGAUGCUUGAUGAAUGAUAAUUAGUACAAUCGAUGAUCUGCCGCGAAUGCUAAUCAGUCGCCAAGCUGAUGGGUGUAAAUAAAGAGAGGACAGGCGCUUGUAUUUAUUACAUCGAUUUUGAACAUCGUUUCCAAAGUUGAAAAGAAUACUUGCAAAACGCGAUAAAUGUCAAACUUCUUUCAGAUAAAUUCAUUAUUCGAGACCAGGAUUGCGUAGUUUGCAACGUUUAAAUACGCUCGCGUAAUUUCUCCAAAUUUUUCCCCGCACGUUAUUCUUGAUACAAUAGAUAUAAGUCGAUCAAAUAAUUUCAUU